GGCAAUCGGCAGCCUACACAUGCAGUCGAGGGGUAGAGGGUGCUUGCACCCUUGAGACCGGCGCACGGGUGCGUAACGCGUAUGCAACCUACCUAUUGCAGGGGAAUAGCCCAGGGAAACUUGGAUUAAUGCCCCAUAGUCCAUAUUGAGAGCAUUUGAGAUAUGGUAAAGAUUUAUCGGCAAUAGAUGGGCAUGCGUCCCAUUAGCUAGUUGGUAUGGUAACGGCAUACCAAGGCUACGAUGGGUAGGGGCCCUGAGAGGGGGAUCCCCCACACUGGUACUGAGACACGGACCAGACUCCUACGGGAGGCAGCAGUGAGGAAUAUUGGACAAUGGGCGGGAGCCUGAUCCAGCCAUGCCGCGUGCAGGAAGACUGCCCUAUGGGUUGUAAACUGCUUUUUUACGGGAAGAAACACCCCCACGUGUGGGGGCUUGACGGUACCGUACGAAUAAGGACCGGCUAACUCCGUGCCAGCAGCCGCGGUAAUACGGAGGGUCCGAGCGUUAUCCGGAAUCAUUGGGUUUAAAGGGUCCGUAGGCGGGCGUCUAAGUCAGUGGUGAAAUCUCGCGGCUCAACCGUGAAAUUGCCAUUGAUACUGGUCGCCUUGAAUUAGUGUGAAGUGGCUAGAAUAUGUAGUGUAGCGGUGAAAUGCUUAGAUAUUACAUAGAAUACCGAUUGCGAAGGCAGGUCACUAACACUAUAUUGACGCUGAUGGACGAAAGCGUGGGGAGCGAACAGGAUUAGAUACCCUGGUAGUCCACGCCGUAAACGAUGGAUACUAGCUGUCCGGCCUGCAUUGGUAGGCUGGGUGGCCAAGCGAAAGUGAUAAGUAUCCCACCUGGGGAGUACGUUCGCAAGAAUGAAACUCAAAGGAAUUGACGGGGGCCCGCACAAGCGGUGGAGCAUGUGGUUUAAUUCGAUGAUACGCGAGGAACCUUACCAGGGCUUAAAUGUAGUCUGACAGGGGUGGAAACACCCUCUUCUUCGGACAGACUGCAAGGUGCUGCAUGGUUGUCGUCAGCUCGUGCCGUGAGGUGUCAGGUUAAGUCCUAUAACGAGCGCAACCCCUGUCGUUAGUUGCCAGCAUGUAAAGAUGGGAACUCUAACGAGACUGCCGGUGCAAACCGUGAGGAAGGUGGGGAUGACGUCAAAUCAUCACGGCCCUUACGUCCUGGGCCACACACGUGCUACAAUGGCAGGUACAAUGGGCAGCCACGCCGCAAGGCGGAGCGAAUCCACAAAACCUGUCUCAGUUCGGAUCGGGGUCUGCAACUCGACCCCGUGAAGCUGGAAUCGCUAGUAAUCGGAUAUCAGCCAUGAUCCGGUGAAUACGUUCCCGGGCCUUGUACACACCGCCCGUCAAGCCAUGGAAGCUGGAAGCACCUGAAGUCCGUCACCGCGAGGAGCGGCCUAGGGGAAGNCGAAGGGC
rnacentral:rRNA from 1 species